GACGAACGCUGGCGGCGUGCUUAACACAUGCAAGUCGAACGGUGAAGCGCCUUCCUUUUUGGUGGGUGUGGAUGAGUGGCGAACGGGUGAGUAACACGUGAGUAACCUGCCCCCUUCUUCUGGAUAACCGCAUGAAAGUGUGGCUAAUACGGGAUAUUCUGGGUCUGUCGCAUGAUGGGUCUGGGAAAGAUAUUGUUUCGGUGGGGGAUGGGCUCGCGGCCUAUCAGCUUGUUGGUGGGGUGAUGGCCUACCAAGGCGGUGACGGGUAGCCGGCCUGAGAGGGUGGACGGUCACACUGGGACUGAGACACGGCCCAGACUCCUACGGGAGGCAGCAGUGGGGAAUAUUGCACAAUGGGCGCAAGCCUGAUGCAGCGACGCCGCGUGAGGAUGGAGGCCUUCGGGUUGUGAACCUCUUUCGCCAGUGAAGCAGGCCUGCCUCGUUUGUGGGUGGGUUGACGGUAGCUGGAUAAGAAGCGCCGGCUAACUACGUG
rnacentral:rRNA from 1 species